AACGUAGGAGACAAACGUUAUCCGGAGUUACUGGGCGUAAAGGGCGUGCAGGCGGUUUCUUAAGUUCGUCGUGAAAUCGCCCGGCUUAACCGGGCGGGGUCGAUGGAUACUGGGAGACUUGAGGGCGGUAGAGGCGUGUGGAAUUCCGGGUGUAGUGGUGAAAUGCGUAGAUAUCCGGAGGAACACCAGUGGCGAAGGCGACACGCUGGGCCGUACCUGACGCUAAGACGCGACAACAUGGGGAGCGAACGGG
rnacentral:rRNA from 1 species